AGUGAAUAGAUACCCUGGUAGUCCUGGCCGUAAACGAUGUCCACUAGAUCGUGGUGGCUCUGACGCCAUCAUGGUCGAAGCAAAGUGCUAAGUGGACCGCCUGGGAAGUACGGUCGCAAGGCUAAAACUCAAAGGAAUUGACGGGGGCUCACACAAGCGGUGGAGCAUGUGGUUCAAUUCGAAGCAACGCGCAGAACCUUACCUGGGCUUGACAUGCUAGGAUUAUCCCUAUGAAAGUAGGGUAGGCCCUUCGGGGUACAACUAGUACAGGUGCUGCAUGGCUGUCGUCAGCUCGUGUCGUGAGAUGUCGGGUUAAGUCCCUUAACGAGCGAACCUUUGCCCUUAGUUACUAACGGGUUAUGCCGAGGACUCUAAGGGGACUGCCGGUGUCAAACCGGAGGAAGGUGGAGAUGACGUCAAGUCCUCAUGGCCUUUAUGCCCAGGGCCACACACGUGCUACAAUGGCGUUCACAAAGCGACCUAAACCGCGAGGUCAUGGAAAUCGCAGAAAUAACG
rnacentral:rRNA from 1 species